GUAUAUUUGCUUUAAAUUAGAACAGUUUUGUCUUAGUAAGAGUCAAACUUCUCAAGCAUCCCUGUUUUGUCUCGCUAAGACUCGAAUUUCCCAACAUUACAUCCCAUCCCUGUUUGGUCUCUAUAAGAUUCGACAAAUAUCCCUAUACCCAUGUUCAUCUAAGCUCUUAGAACUUGAAACUAAGAACUAAAACUCUUAGAACUUAAAACUCUUAGAACUUAAAACUUCAACCGUGUAGCAAAAGGUGAUUUGUUUUUGAGAGAGAAAUUUGGAGUUAAGUAGGUCGGAAGUCUGCAAGAGAAUUUGAUGAACUUCUAACAAGCAAUUGGCAGAGAAGAAAGAGAUCCGUUUUCAAACUGUGAAUUCGUUAAUUGAUGGAAAGUAUUGGUGGUUUUCUUAUGCGCCUUGCUGAUGGACUUCCUUUGUUCGUUAUUCCCUUAAGACACACAUGACAACCAAGAAUUGCUGUUGUCAAAAUUAUUAUUAUUGUUUGCCUGAUGAGAUGAAGACAAGAAAGAGCUUUGGCUGAAAAAUGUGAAAAGCAAUGUUACAAUUCGUUCGUUGAAGUUUGGUGAAGAAGCCAUUAUCUUUAAAGCGAUGUGCGGAUAUAAUCAACAACAACUCGAUUUUCACGUUUGCCAGCGUCAGGAAUACGUCUAAAAAGGCAAUGUUUCAAUUCGUUCGUUGAAGUUUGGUGAAAAAGCCAUUAUCUUGAAAGCGAUGUGCUGAUAAAUCAACAACAACUUGAUUUUCACGUUUGCCAGCGUCAGGAAUACGUCUAAAAAGAAAUAUUGUGAUGAAAGUCAUCUCGUAAAAAUCUAUUGUAUUUAAUUGGUGGAAGAUUUUCUUCGACAUUUCUACCAGUUUUGUCACAGCCACAAACGAAGAAUAAUGUUUACGAAGCUCAAAGCCACAUGUUGUGACAAGCUGAUGAAAACGCUUAAGUAUCUGUUCAAGGAUUAUCGAGCGUGGGAGUAAUUAUUAAAAUGUUUUUUUUUCUCAUUCCUUUUUUUUCCUUUAGAUGAUCAUCGUGUGGUACAAGGCCUGCUCCUUUUCCCUCCCUUUAGCUAGGUGCGCUGAGAGAAGGUCCCUGACAAAGGACGGGUUGCGUGUUCUUCGGAGCUCGCAUUAACGUAACGUGGUCAUGUCGGACUAGAGCGCCCCAUUAGGCUCCCGCAAUGAAAUUUUCUGAUAAAGAUACAUUCUUAGAUAAUUAAGUCAAGCAGUUACGUUAAGAAAAGUUCCUUUGUUUGUCUGAGGGAGCAAGAUAAAAGGGUCUAUGUUAUUGUGUGUAGUUGGUGUCAUUGUAAGGUUUAAGCUGGUGAGUUUACAAAUGUUUGGAUAAGGUUUGGACGAGGAACCACCUUAGCCUUGAAGGUCAAUACGGGGACAUGUAUCUUUGCAAAGGCGUCAACAAAUCCAUUAAGCCCACUUCCAUCUCAGCAACAAUGGAAGAAACUUGCGUUGCUGAGCUCUGCUGGCUGGGUGGCGUCACCGCACAUUGACCCAGCUACCCAAUGACUUCCCUGAAUUUUCAUUAUGUGAAAAC